rnacentral:rRNA from 1 species
ACGGAAGGCAGCAGUGGGGAAUAUUGCACAAUGGGCGCAAGCCUGAUGCAGCGAUGCCGCGUGAGGGAAGAAGGUUUUCGGAUUGUAAACCUCUGUCAACAGGGACGAAAAUGACGGUACCUGUGAAGGAAGCUCCGGCUAACUACGUGCCAGCAGCCGCGGUAAUACGUAGGGAGCAAGCGUUAUCCGGAAUUACUGGGUGUAAAGGGAGUGUAGGCGGGACUGUAAGUCAGAUGUGAAAUAUACCGGCUCAACUUGUAGACUGCAUUUGAAACUGCGGUUCUUGAGUGAAGUAGAGGUAAGCGGAAUGCCUAGCGUAGCGGUGGAAUGCGUAGAUAUUAGGAGGAACAUCAGUGGCGAAGGCGGCUUACUAGGCUUUAACUGACGCUGAGGCUCGAAAGCGUGGGGAGCAAACAGGAUUAGAUACCCUGGUA